ensembl:lncRNA
GUUGGCAUCAGAGGAGUGGAAACACUAGCUGGAGGCCAUCAAAGCCGAUUCUCUGUCCCGUCUCUACGAUUCGGGAGAGGAUCCUGUCCUGAGUGCGCCCAUCAUUCCGCCCUCCCGAGACGUUGCCCCCGUGCUUUGGGACACAGACGUGGACAUCCACCAGGCUCUGGAGAGGGAACCUGUGCCUACUACCAGUCCUCCAGAGCGCACCUGCGUCCCCACAGAGCAGGUCUUCCGGGUACUAUGACCUUCUGGAGGACAUCGUCUCCGACCGUGGCCCCCAAUUCACGUUGUGGGUAUGGAGAGCCUUCGUGAAGAAGUUUGGGGCCACGGCCAGCCUCACAUACAGACUGGUGGUUCCUGGUCCCCUGGCUGGUGUCGUCCCCUGUGACACCCCUCCACCUCCCAUGGACAUCGAUGGGACCAGGACGGUCCGGACGGGACCCAACAGCACUCCUCUGGGCCGCACCCCUCCC